rnacentral:tRNA from 1 species
GCGGGAAUAGCUCAGUUGGUAGAGUGCAACCUUGCCAAGGUUGAGGUCGCGAGUUCAAGUCUCGUUUCCCGCU